GACUCUCGGCACGGAUAUCUCGGCUCUUGCAUCGAUGAAGAACGUAGCGAAAUGCGAUACUUGGUGUGAAUUGCAGAAUCCCGUGAACCAUCGAGUCUUUGAACGCAAGUUGCGCCCGAAGCCAUUAGGCCGAGGGCACGCCUGCCUGGGUGUCA
rnacentral:rRNA from 1 species